CAGUAGCCGCGGUAAUACGUGGGUGGCAAGCGUUGUCCGGAAUUAUUGGGCGUAAAGGGCUCGCAGGCGGUUUCUUAAGUCUGAUGUGAAAGCCCCCGGCUCAACCGGGGAGGGUCAUUGGAAACUGGGAAACUUGAGUGCAGAAGAGGAGAGUGGAAUUCCACGUGUAGCGGUGAAAUGCGUAGAGAUGUGGAGGAACACCAGUGGCGAAGGCGACUCUCUGGUCUGUAACUGACGCUGAGGAGCGAAAGCGUGGGGAGCGAAUAGGAUUAGAUACCCCCGUAGUCCCUGUCUCUUAUAC
rnacentral:rRNA from 1 species